rnacentral:rRNA from 1 species
AUUUGUCUGGUUAAUUCCGAUAACGAACGAGACCUUAACCUGCUAACUAGAUUCAAUAGUAUUACUCUUGAUAUCUUCUUAGAGGGACUAUGUAAAACAAAUACAUGGAAGUUUGAGGCAAUAACAGGUCAGUGAUGCCCUUAUAUGUCCUGGGCUGCACGCGUGCUACACUGAUGCAUACAACAAGUGCCUAACCAGACAUGGUAUGGCAAUCUCGAAUAUGCAUCGUGAUGGGGAUAGAUCUUUGCAAUUAUAGAUCUUGAACGAGGAAUUCCUAGUAAGUGCAAGUCAUCAUCUUGCAUUGAUUAUGUCCCUGCCCUUUGUACACACCGCCCGUCGCUCCUACCGAUACCGGGUGAUCCGGUGAACCUUUUGGACUCUUUACUGGGAAAGAUAAGUAAACCAUAUCACCUAGAGGAAGGAGAAGUCGUAACAAGGUUUCCGUAGGUGAACCUGCRGAAGGAUCA